UGAAUUAAAGUUGAGACCGCGAAUGGCUCAUUAAAUCAGCUGUAUUUUACUGGAUCUAUUCUAAGACCUAUGUGUCCUACUUGGAUAACUGUGGUAAUUCUAGAGCUAAUACAUGCCAAUGGAAUCUCUUGCAAACCAGCGUGCUGCCUCGUUCGUUCUUCGUCGUUCUUCGACGCUGAAACGUUCGGGUGUGUAUGUUCGCUUCAAUGGUUAUAGUCAAGGGUGCACUUAUUAGAAGCUAAAAGCAGGUUCCCUCGGGCUUCGGUCCGUAGAACGAACUCUUAUUUUUUUAUGCUGACUCUGGAUAAACUUACUGCAGAGCGCACUGUUCAUUCAAAUACAGGCGCUGUAUCUUUCAAGUGUCUGCCCUAUCAGAUAGAUUGUACGUUAUGUGCAUACAAUGUCUAUAACGGGUAACGGGGAAUCAGGGUUCGAUUCCGGAGAGGGAGCCUGAGAAACGGCUACCACAUCUAAGGAAGGCAGCAGGCACGCAAAUUACCCACUCCCGGCACGGGGAGGUAGUGACGAAAAAUAACGAUGCGAGACUCAUCCGAGGCCUCGCAAUCGGAAUGAGUACACUUUAAACACUUUAACGAGUACCUAUCGGAGGGCAAGUCUGGUGCCAGCAGGUUAGCCUAUGUUAAAGCUGUUGUGGUUAGAAAGCUCGUAGCUGGUCCUACGGGACCCCCGGCCGUUAUGGUGGUGUGAAAUCCAAUGGCUCCYGUUGAGGUGACGCGGCAACGCGUCUCUCUCGGGUUGUCUUCCUCCACCGUGACGCCGGGACCAAUCGCUUCUCCCGCAGCUAUUAAAAAACUGCUGGGUGGCAAUCUGGCCGGCUCGCACGGGGUUGCUCUUAACCGAGUGUCCCGGGUGGCUGGCGUGUUUACUUUGAAAAAAUUAGAGUGCUUAAAGCAGGCUACUAAGCAGGCCUGAAUGAUGAUGCAUGGAAUAAUGAAAUAAGGCAUCGUGGUUAUUUUUUAUACAGAGAGCCAUAUUGUACCUAUUGCAACUAUGGACUGGAACCUGUUUUUAUUCUAGAAACGGUCGCUGCUCGGAUCGGCGGGCUGGGUCUUUCUCAUCGCGAAGGAGGAGGAGGCGGGUGUGUAUGCAUCCCCUCUUUACCUCCGAUGAGUCCCCUGUCCCACUAAUGCCGAUUCCGAGAUUAAUGCUAGCGACCCUUCCGAACCUCAAUGCAAUGAUUAGCAGGGACAGAUGAGGGCAUUUGUACUGUGUGGUGAGAGGUGAAAUUCUUGGACCCUCGCAAGACAAACAAAGGCGAAGGCAUUUGCCAAGUAUGUUCCCACUAGUCAAGAACGAAAGUUAGAGGUUCGAAGGCGAUCAGAUACCGCCCUAGUUCUAACCGUAAACUAUGCUAACCAGCAAUCUGCCGGUCGUUAUACCAAUGACCUGGCAGGCAGCUUCCGGGAAACCAAAGUCUUUGAGUUCCAGGGGAAGUAUGGUUGCAAAUCUGAAACUUAAAGGAAUUGACGGAAGGGCACCACCAGGAGUGGAGCCUGCGGCUUAAUUUGACUCAACACGGGAAACCUCACCAGGUCCGGACACUAGAAGGAUUGACAGAAUGAAAGCUCUUUCUCGAUUCAGUGGGUGGUGGUGCAUGGCCGUUCUUAGUUGGU
rnacentral:rRNA from 1 species